AGAGGGGAGUGGGAAGGGAUGAGAACGAGGAAAACAUCCAAGGAAACAUCCAAGGAAAAAGAUGUGCAGCGUGGAGUGAUCAGUGAGGAGGAAGGGAACAAGGCCCAGCGUUCUAUGAGGAAGACAAUAAUGUUCUGUUUGAAGAGUUCGCUGUUGGACAGUGUUGUCUCACGUCGUCCUGAAGAACAGCAUCAUCUUCAAGCAAAAUGGAAUCAAGGACGGACAUACUGUGUUCCUUGGCCAGGAAGAGGACUAAUUUCAUGGCUUAUAAGCUAUACAUUUGGUGGUCUGGGGCAGGUUCACAUUGUUUUAAGGGUGUACUUGUCUGUGUUAGAUCAAGGAUGGGGUUUUGUAUUUCCUUUGAAACCCGUUUGUUUGCACAAAGCAUGCAUGCUAAGCUGUUUGUAAUAGGCUUUGUUUUCUCACAGCACUGAGAACAGAUCCUGGGCCCUUGCCCAGGUUUUCAUACUAAAUGGAACCACACGGUGCACAGAACUGUGAACUUGGAGGCCAGUCACCUAGACUGCAAUUCAGUUUUAUGCUUGUUAAACCCAUGAACUUGAACAAAACUUUGGCCUUUCAGCUUCCUCAUAUCCACCCAGAAAACGUCCUAUAAAAUUACCCAGUGUGUAAGAAAGCGAACGAAAACUCAUCAGAUAAUUUAGUUGAAGUCAAACUACUGGUGACAGAGCAAGGACAUCAGUGUGCAUUCUACCACAAGCCAUUCUUGGAGUCAUUUCUCCUGCUCCUGUGUUUGCUAUGUGGUUAGCAUGGAGCUAGAAAUCUUGCAUCAGGCCUGUCAAACACAUUGGAAUUAGCAGAGUUUCAUAUUUCUCUCAGCUUGAGCAACUUUCUGGUAAGAAUGUGAAACUCGGGACUCUUUACUUUUUACAUCUCUGUGGAUUGUAACAACGCACUUCUACCAUGGUGCUUGGUAAAAGAACAUGUUUAAUUCUCCUUAGACUUUUACAGACUCACAAACAACUUUAGCAGACUGAAGUAUUUAUUAUCCUUUAAACUAAAAUGUAUUUUGUCUUAUACACUAGUGUGCUGAUUUAUAAAAAGAACAGUCUUAGUCUUGGAGAUUUCAGUCCAUAGCCAACUGACCAUGUAGCUUCGGGUGGGGGGGACAGCUUAUCAUUGCAGAGAUGUGGGGAGUAAACACAUCAUCCAUCUCUCUGGGUAUGAAAGAGAGGGAGGAAGAGGGCAUCCUUUGAGAGCAAAUUUUCAUGAACCUAAAACUUCUUAGGCUUUACCUCUUAAAGAUCCCACUUCUCCCAUAGUGCCAGGCUAGUGAAUAAGCCGUAUUACACGGGCCUUUAAAUGACAUUCCAGAUUUGAGCUAAAGCAGCUGGUAAGGGGUCUUUAGCUGUGAUUUCUUAGUUCUUCCAGAAUGAGAACAUUCUGUUACUCUACUGGACAGCAUGUGCCAAGAUGUUGCUUAGUAAAACCAAAUGGUCUUGGCCUAAAAACAACUCCAAACAGGCAGCCAGGGUUCAACAGAGAGACCACUCAGACAACCUUUAGCAUUCAAAACAAAACCAACCCUUUAGACAAUAAACCAACACAAAUUCCACAGGAAUUAGGGAAUUAAAAUUAAACGCGUGAUAUAAAACAAACAGAACAGAAAUCAAUAGAUGGAAGAACAUUUGAAUAUUAUAUGAUAUUUGAAUUGGUAGCCUAAUUAUAAACAUUAUUAAAGAAACCAUAAUGAACAGAUUUGAAAAUAUGAGAAAAACUAAAAUCUACAUGCCAGAAAACAAAUAAAAUUAAGAUACAAAUAAUAUGUGCAGCAAAAUAUGUCUAUAGUAAAAUAUUGCUCUUUUUGUUUUGGACAGAGUCUCACUGUGAAGUCCUAGGUGACCUGGAACUUGCCAUGUACUCCAGGCUGGCCUCAGGCUCACAGACAUCCACCCACCUGUCUCUGCUCCCAAGUGCUGGGAUUAAAAGAGUGUGCCACCAUACCAGAAACCAUAUGAUUCUUUUUUCAAUAUUUAUUGUAUUUAUUUAUGUUUGCAUAUCUGUGUGAGUAUAUACGCACCUGUGGGUUUGAGUGUACACACAGAAGCCAGAAAAGGGCAUCUUAUUUCUUGGAGCUGAAGCUAUAAGUGUUUGUGGAAUAGCCGGAUGCUAUGUGGGUGCUGGAAUCUGAACUCUGACCCUUAGGAUUGUGCAGCAAGCACUUUUAACCACUCAUCCCCAGCUGUGACGCAGAAGGUACAUUCACAAAGAAAGGAAUGAAUGUGUCUGGUGAAUACACUUGGAAGUCAAAGAUGUGCACCUAAAAAUUACAGAGGUAUUUUUUUUUACCUUCUCAGAUUUCUUGGGGGGCAUACUUGAUGUUAUAUGAUGCUGGCAGAAGCAAAAGUUUCUGGAGGCAAAACAAACAAACAAACAAAAAAACCCCCCAAAACCCAAAAAACUUAUUUCCUUCACCUUAGCUGGAUCUAUAUGAGGAAUAUGAACUUUUCAAAAUGCUUGUUUUUCUUCUUGGGUUAGGGGCAUACUGUGCUCCCGUGUUGGAAAAUUGGUUUUAAACAAAUUUAUUUCAAGCAAGUUUUCCUGAAAUCAAUUUUUGUUUAAUGUAAUUCCAAGUACACUGACAAAGUGAUUUAACUUCCCUUUUAUGUUCUGAGUUAAGUGUUUUCUUGGGCUGCAUAAAAUUUUAUGAUGGGAGAGAUAGGAAAUAAGAAGAUCGAAAUAGAAACAAUGGGUAUGAAAGCUGUGUGCAGUGGAAUGUUAAUUUAUAAAGCCACACACAUGUAAGGAUGGUUCUGAAUGGGGUAUGCAGAUGGGACAGACAGAGGGAAACAGUAUAUGUGAGAAAUGACUGAAAUGAAGAAAACAUAUUCAAAAGAUGAUAUAAGGUGGUUGACAUCUUGGGCAAUAGAAGAGAUAAAAAAUCUAAGCAUUCAACAAAACAAGUCUCAAAUGGAAUCGAGUAAGUGUGGAGAAAUGACGCAUGAGCGGAACCAGAUUCCAUCCUGUUCUUCUGUGUUAGACAAGAUGCUGCUUUCAAUUAAGAGUUUAACAUCCUAACUGGCAAAAAUGGGAAGGUGCACUCAUAAAAGACGUUCUGUUUUUCUGUAAAACUGCUGUAGGAUAAGUUUUAUAAGUAAUAUACACACUUGCUAUAGCUGAAUCACAAUUAAUAAACUCUACCUGCUUGAGUACCUGUUUGGCAGUCUUUGUUAGCUGUCUAUUGGAAAUUGGCUCAUUGCUCCCUUUAAGAAUUUUACUUUUUAGCUCAAGAUUUCCCAUAAGAAUAUUAUAAUUAGGCUUCAGCCAUUGUAUAUCAGAUUAAGUUUGUAAACUAUCUUCCUUUUACGUUGUAAGUCUUUCAAGUUUACAGGAAAAUGGAAAAAAGAAAGCACAUUCAACUAAUGAUCCUGGCAUAACUGAGCAUCAACAUGUAGAAGAAUGAAAAUAGAUCCAUAUUAAUCGCUAUGCACAAAACUCAAAUCUAAAUGAAUGAAAGACCUCAGCAUGAAACCAACAAUAUUGAACCUCAUAGAAGAAAAGUUAAAAGUACACUAAAAUGCAUUGACACUUCUUAAACACAGCCUCAGUGGCACAGACAUUGAGAGAAACAAUUAAUAAAUGAGAUCUUAAACUGAGAAGCUUCUGUAUAGCAAAGGACAUAAUAUCAGCCUAUAGAAUGGAAAAAUAUCUUUACUAAUCACUAAUCCACUCCAAAAACAUACAAAGAACUCAGGAAAUUAGUCAUCAAAAGAACAAACAAUCCAAUAAAAACACAUGGUGCAGACCUAAACUGAAAACUCUCAACAGAUGAACCCAAAAUGACUAAAAGACACUUAAAAGAUGCUCAACAUCCUUAGCCAUCAGAAAAAUACAAAUAAAAACUCUGAGAUUCCAUCUUAUCCCUGUAAGAAUGACCAAGAUUAAAAACACUGCUGAUAACUUAUGCUGAAGAGGAUGUGGGGUAAAGAAAAAACUCCAUUGCUGGUGGAAGUGCAAACUGGCACAGCUGCUUUGGAUCCUAGUAUGGGGAUUUCUCAGAAAAUUAGGUAACAAUCUACCUUAAGACUCAGUGAUACCACUUUUGGGCCUAUACACAAAAGAUGCUCAACCAUACCAUAAGGACAUGUACUCAACGAUGUUCACAGCAGAAUUAUUUUGUCAUAGCCAGGAUCUGAAAACAACCCAAAUGCUCCCCUUUUACACAGAUAAAUAAAUGAGCUGAGGUAGAAAUCAGAGAAACAUCACCCUUUACAAAUAGCUACAGAGAAAUCUGCAGAUUCAGUGCAAAUGCCCAUUAAAAUCACAGCAAAAUUAUUCACAGACCUCGAAAGAACAAUCCUCAACUUCAUAAGGAAAACAAAACUCAGGAUAACCUAAAUAAUCCUAAACAAUCCUAUACAACCAAGGAACUGCUGAAUGCAUCACAAUCUCUGACUUUAAACUUCAUUACAGAGCCACAGUACUGAGAACAGCUUGAUAUUGGCAUAAAAAUUGAUAUGAGGACCAAGGGAACUGAUAUCAAUCCACCUUGGAUAUCAAUCUACAUGUCUACGAACUGCAGAUUUUUGACAAAAAUUGUGAAAUGGAAAAGAAGCAUAUUUAACCUGCUUGUUUAUUUUUUACAGACCUUUAACUGUCCUGAAACGGAAGAUUUAGGGAUGAUAUUUAGGUAACAGAUGAAUAGUAGGAAGACCUGACUCAGAGUUCCACCCCAGGCACGGGUAAAGAUAUGUUCCCAUUCUGUUCAGGGGUAUGUGCAGGCAUGAGGAGUAAAGAAGUCUGUCCAUUGACCAAGGGCCAUGACUAGUCUUCAAGAUUUGGCCACACCAAGUUCUCCUUAG